rnacentral:rRNA from 1 species
UACGUAGGUGACAAGCGUUGUCCGGAUUUACUGGGCGUAAAGAGCGCGCAGGCGGUCGGUCAAGUCGAGUGUGAAAGCCCCCGGCUCAACUGGGGAGGGUCAUUCGAUACUGAUCGACUCGAAGGCAGGAGAGGGUAGUGGAAUUCCCGGUGUAGUGGUGAAAUGCGUAGAUAUCGGGAGGAACACCAGCGGCGAAGGCGACUCCCUGGCCUGUUAUUGACGCUGAGGAGCGAAAGCUAGGGGAGCAAACGGG